rnacentral:lncRNA from 10 species
UUUCUGCUCAUCUAGCUGUGAUCAUUCUUGUGUCUGUGUUCAGCUGCUGGUUGGCUAGGCAGCUCUGUUAGUCAGCUUAGGGCUGGGGCAGUGAGGGAACUCGGCCAUAUAUCUGUCAUCGUCCAGCAGAUCAGCCCAGGCUCUUUCACACAGGGGUUGGUAGGAGGAUUCCAAAAGCAGCAAGUUAAGACAAGCUCCCACAGAGGCAAGGACAUGUGCUGGAUGUGUAUGCAGUCUUUGAAGCUGGAGAGGCCUGUGUUGGAAACUGUGCUCUGUCCCAUGCCAGUUCCCUGACCUUGGAAGGAGGAAAUUGAAAGUGUGAAACACCAGUGGGAGGAAAAGGUUCCUGUAACAAAUGUGGUUAUCAAUGGGAAAGAAGCUUUCUAGAGCUUAUAUACGGGGCCGAGUCAUGCACACUUCAUCAUACUCACCAGGGGACGACCCAGACCAUCAUUCUUCUCUGGUCUGCCACCUUCAUCCUCCACUUGCAGCCUCCUUUGCAGUGACCAUACAGGUGCAGAGCAUGAGCAGGAUGCACAGGGGUUUAUGUGGUCAGGCCUGCCUGGAGUUGGCACAUAGCAUUUCUGCUUCCAUUCUUAGGUCUGAAAUCCAGGUCACAGAGCCCUAACAUAACUACAAAGGAUCCUGAAAAGUGUUGUAUUCCAGUGUGCCUCGGAAAAGAAAAUAGGAUUAAUAAACUUUGAUUAGACUAAAUCAUUGA